GUUUUAAAGCUUUGUAGUUCCCCAGUUCAAGGUUGAAUGGGGCAGGUCUGUCCUCUGGCACAUUAAAGAAAUCACACUGACCCACAUAAACUAUUCUAGCAAGCACUGAUUGCUGAAUAUUAGGUAUCUUUUUCUUUGGUGUGACCUCUAUGCCAAGUUUUAGAGUUUACAGAAUGACUGUAUUUUGGGCUACCUCCACCCAGAAAACUCAGCAGUGCAAGAAAAGUUCUGAAAUGUCAUUGAUAUCACAGCCACCGUACGCUACUACAUAGUAAGAAAAAGCUGUGGGUGAAAUGUUGUUAUCUUCAUAGCCUUUAUUCUCUGUUCUACCAUCUGUCAGCAGUGGGAGUGGAAGUAUGCUGAAGAUUUCUUGUAUACAUAUAGGUGAAUCUGAGUCACAAAUUUCAUCGAAUACGUUGGAAGUCAUAAUCCUAAAGGUGCUCAUUCCAUUGCAAAAAGAGCUACAAAGGAAGAGUUCAGAAAACAGAGAAGACAAAAUGCAUCUGGGCAACUGCCAGCAGCUUGUGUUACAGUGUAAGGAGCUGCAAGACUGACAAGAAACACAUCUGAGAGCACACAGAGAGCUGAGAAGAGCCCUCUCCAUCUCACAUUUCUGUGGAGUUCACUGCUUCUCAGCUCUUCCUCCUCUCUCAGCACCAGCUUCCUCCACCAUGAAGACCUGUGACCUCCACCAGGAAGGAGUCUCAGCUGGUGAUAAGAAAGAAGAGCCUGAGCCAUCUAUGAUACUGGAAAGGGAAAACUGUGGGACAAGGAGGGAAGGGGAGAGAUGAUUGAACUGGGAUGAGAAUUUUUGCAAAGGGAGCAUUUGACAUGAAGAUGGGGAACAACUUGGAGAAGGGAUCCAUAAAGACAUAAAGCUACAUAAAGACAUAGAACAGAUUUUGAGGAGGGAAUUGAUUUGUUUUUAAAAUCAGUUGGGUGCCUUGGAGAUUCUGGGAUAGGAUUGAACUGGUGGGAGGCAAGUAAAAGUCCUGUGAGAGGAGUGUGCCUGUUUUGUGAGAAGUUUAUCUGAAACUGCCUCCCCUGUGCCUGAGGUUUCUUCAGGGGAAGGAGCAAGACAAGGAAGAGCUGGGCGCAACGUUAAGUCAAGUCUUUGUGUUUCGUGAUACUAAAGUAUCUUCACUUUAGUAAAGCAGUUUGAUUGAAAGUAAUACAGGCAUAUGCUCCUGUUGCAGAUCUGCCAGUUUGCUUUCAAAUUGUCUGUGAAUAGAGGAACAUUUUCAUCAGUCUGCUGUGCUACCAAACAGACAUGCAAGCAGGAAUGACACAGAAUGGCUGACUAAUUUCCAGAUGUCAAGAUUUGCCUUUAACUUUCUCUCUCCCCCCAGUUUUACAGAAGCAGGUUGCCCAUUUGUGACUGUAAUGCCUUAGGCAAGAGAACUGUUACUGCUUUCUGGAUUUUGGCUACAAAUGCUGCUCACUGCUUCUUGACAUAUUCUGAAGUCUUGUGACAAAGUAAUCCAUGAGGAACGUGUCUUCAUCUGUUUCUUCGGGGACUGCUUUUUUUCUUUUUCAAUUUGUGCAGUACUGUCUGAGAAGCUGCUGUGAAGUCCUGUGCAAAUGUCAGUUGCAUUUUACUUGUCAACGAAGAGCUUGGCUCUUGUUACAGAUCCUGGAUUUGUACAGUAUCAGCAUGUACCUAUUUAUUGCUUUUACAGACUGAGAUGGUGCAUCAUCUACCUGAUAUUUCGGAGAGCACAUACAUAGUUUACAAGUAGUACACCUCCAAAUGUACUUCUCAGAGACAGAAGAAGACACGCUAUUCCCCAAAACAAACACAUCUCCCUUCUAUCCAAUCCUUCCAAAUUCUUUCAGGUAAACACCUGGGGAAGGAGACGAACCUCUAACUUUGCCCUGAAAGACAGUCCAUAGUCUUUGACUGGCUGCCAAAUGGCACAGAUGAUGGAGUCCUGAGGUCUUCACUAUGAUGUGAUCUAGACCCUGAAUUGUAAACCCCCAAUAGCUGUCAAGGAAAAAAGUUUUUCUGUUGCAGUCAAGUCAAAUCUUGAGGUUUAUCUAGAAGUAAACAAGAGGCCCCUGCAACUGUUGAGAAAUAGGGUAUCAGAAAUGUCGAUCAGUUACUGUCUACCAAAGACUGUUCAGAUUACAAAUGAUAAAAGGGUUUUGACAGCUGUAUUCUGCCAUAGCCAAAGUUUCUGUGAAAAUUUUCAGGUGUGAUCCAAAAUGGUGCAAUCCAGUCCAGAAAUCACAUAUACGUAGGUCACCAUGGAAAAGCUACAUGCAAAGAUGUAAACAAUGAGAUGUGAAUGGAAAAAUAGGAGCUUUUUAUCAUGUAUGUUAGCUGAAAUUCAAGAAGAAAUGGGGGAAUCACAGGACCCCUCCUCCCCUGCAUAUAUUUCAGCAUAACAUUUUUUACAUUGUACUUGUCCUUCUCUUUUUUCCUCUUCCUUUGGCUUUUCCCUUCUUUCUUGCUCGCCUCUUUCGAGUGCUACUUUCUCACACUCUUUCCAACAAACUUCUAAUUUCCCUUUGCCACAUCUUCCCUUUUUAUUUCUUCUUAAUUAUUAUCUCACUUUUUACACCCCUUACCCUGCUGUUGGGGUAUUAUCCCCCCAACAAGCACUUCAAAUAUGCUUAUUAAUCCCCAUUUUCUUUGCUCCAGCCAAAGCCGCACAGAUCUUUCAGCUAAGCUCCUUCCUUCCUGCAGAAGCCUUAAUCUCAAAAAAGGCUUUUCUUAUCUCUUUGCCUUUUUCUUACUUCCCUGCUUCUUUUUCAAUGUCAUUAUCUCUCCUUUCCACCACCGAUACAAACACCUCAAAGCUGUCUCUGUGUUUCUGGUUUUCCAAACCCUUCCUAGACUAUGCUCUUUGGAUUUCCUAUAAGGAUCCCUGCAAAGAUCACAAGGCCUACAGAAACCCCUGCCAAUGGGAUGAAAUAUGUAUAGGCUCCACCUGCACCGAUAGCCCUUUCAGGCCUCCUGUGUCAAUUAUGGACUUGGCUGUUCACGUGGAAUCCUGCAAAGAAGAUAAACUAAGCAUGGACUCCCACAGAGAAAAUAAAAGCCCAAAGAGCUCCUUUGGUGGUUCACAUUACACUGAAGCUUCUCAAAGGUAGGGAUAAAUAUAUUCAACCUUUGUGAGACAAGGAUGUACAGCAAAAUGUUACAGAAUGACUCAUUUAAAGGAGCUUCAGAAAUGUGAAGGAAAUACACAGCACUGGAUUAAGAUGGAAGGGUAAUAUAGAAAAAUAGAACAGCGUGGUAUAAACCUUAUGGAACUUCAUGGCAAAAAAAGGAGGUAGGAAGCAUGGAAGUCUGCUAGGAGCCUGGAAAUUCAAAGUUAAUUUAACCCAGCUGUUCCAUAUAAAGGCAAUCAGGACCAAGUUGGCUUAGACAGGCUUAAAUCUGUCCCAGUAUCUUACCACUCCAGGCUCUCUAAUAGUCAAUAUUUGUCCUUAGACCAUAAAGUAGUUGAUAUCCUAAAGCCUCUGUAAUUUUCUUAGUUCUUUGGCCCAUGUUACAGACAUUCUAAACUAGGUCUAGCAUGAUUUAAGUCACAGUGAAUAUACAUAAGAGAAUAUGUUGCACACAAGGCUGUGGCCUUUUUGAAAAUCCUAAAAGCUUAAAGCAGUUAGCAAUUUCCCAACCACUGAUGUAAAGAAAUUAUGUGAGGAAGGUAGGCUGGAGAUGAGAUGAAUCUUUGGGUUAAGUAUGGAAAAAUGGCAGAAACUGCUACUAUCUUAUCAAAGAAGGGACAGGAGGAGGGACAAGGGGAUAGACUGUGAUCUUCUAGUGCUUCAGGCAUGUUCCUAAGUAUCAGCCAUGCCUGUCUCUGGGGUAGGGGUGCUAAAAAGACUUGAGUGCUUCCUCUGUUUAGCACAAGGCAGCAUGAAUGAACAGCACCUGCAGCCAGACCAUGGAUGUGUCUCUCCUUCACUGACUAGCUGACCCAGGUCUUUAAAAUGUCAUUCAUGACACCACUACUAACAUUCAUGUAUGCAAUUCAUUUUGCAUUAGCAAAUUUUGCAGGUCAAAGUUUUGCUCAAAACCAUUAUAUUCAGUUUCAACUGUCCUAAACUGUAGCUUGUUUUCUCUAAAGGUCCAUUACAACAGUCAGCCUUAACUUGAUUCUUCCACUGUUUUUGUAUAACUAUUUGCUUCUACAUCAGAGAAUAGAUGACACCAACUAAACACAAAGUCAUUCCAGUAUACCUUUAAUGAUUUCCGUUGAGCUCUGUUCAGUGAUGUGUUUAGCCCAGUAGCUUUUCCUUUCUCUGAUCUCUUGAUAAAUCAAUCAGUUGUGAUCAUGGGUUUUUAAUAAACUGACAACACAGACAAAAAGAAAGAUCUGUUUAUUUUUUCAGCUGUGGGCUACCUACCUGAUUAGCAUAAAACAUGAAAAGACUUAAUAAUACCACUAUUUCUAGUC